UGAACCUAGGACCUCGGGCAGGCCAGGCAAGCCCUCCACCACUGAGCUACUUCCACACCCCGGUGUGGCUUUGCUGGCAAGUAGGGACUUUACAGAGGUAAUGAAGUCAUUCUGGGUUAAGCGGGCUCUAAGCGACGAUGGUGUCUUUAUAAAAAGAGGGAAGAAGCCAGUGCAGUGGAAUGUAUCUGUAGUCCCAGCUACUUGGGAAGCUGAGGCAGGAGGAUCAUUUGAGCCCAAGAGUUGGAGACUACCCUGGGCAACACAAUGAGACACUGUCUCUAAAUUAAAAAGCUAGCAAGUGGCAGCAAGGACCUGGCACCCUUCCAGCCCGCAGAGGAAACAGAAGGCCCUCCAAAGCCAUAGAGAAUUCACUCGGUUGUUUUAAGCCACCAAAUUUGUUACAGCAGCCCUGGGGAAUUUAUUCAGUCCCUAAAAUUUCUCUUUUCUUGAUGCUUUCAGUCUUUACAAGGUGCCCAGCGUGAAGUGAGUGUUGAUAGCAGGAUAAUAUUAAGUUGACAAAACAAAACGCUUCAGGAUCUAAGCGCACCAGAGAAAACAGGGUGGGUGGAAACCGGUUGGACUGGUUUUCUCAUAAAUCUCAAUGACUUUAAUCCUAACCAGGCAGAGUAUUUUUUCCUGGUACUGGGGACAGAACCCAGGGUGCCCUUCCACCCAGGUACAUUCCUAGCCCAUUUUUUAUUUGGGGCAGAGUCUUGCUAAAUUGCUAGGCGGAACUAAAAUUUGCAAUCCUCCUGCCUCAGGUGCUGGGAUUGCAGGGCUGCACCACCAGGCCUGGCUCUGGCCAGGAUGAAUUUUAAAGGUCACCGAUUCAGAGAGAGCAGCCUGAAGAGCAGGCGCGCGGUAUGGCGUGUGAGGCCCUGCGUGGGGGCCUCUGGGGAAGCCGUUCACCUGGGCCACCUUUGCACAGGUUGAGGAAUGUGGCGUGGACACAGAGCGAACAUGAGCCUGCUCUUCUGCACUCCCUUUCGUCAGAGCGGAGGUGGUGCCGGGAGGAGGAGCCAUCUGUGGAGUCCAAGCAGCAAUGUGUGACUAGCAUUUGCAGGCGCCGUGUGCGUGGCCAGAAACGGACACUACGUGGCCCUGCUUGGGCCUCUAUGGUGGCAGGGCCUAGGGCAUGGAGAAAUGAGCCAGAGAAGGGGCCGUGAAAGUCUUGAAAGUAGACUUGACAUUCGUGGAGGAGCUUGGUGUGCUGAGACGCAGGUGACCGUGCUGGGGCAUAUUUACUAGGCCCUGCUGCCUCUUCCCCAUGAGCAGGGCAUGGUGGGAACAAGCCCAGGGUAGGGAUCUCCACAGCCUGGAGCCCAAGGAGGAGCCCACUCCACCAAGUCAGAGGUGGAACUCAGGAAGGCCUGCUGAGAAGCUCAUAGAAGCAGAUUGUUUUGGUUUGUUCUGACUGAAUACCAGGCCGCCCUGUGGGAGAAUUUCACAGAGGGUGAUUUGUCCUCAAUAGGAGGCAAUGUUGCCAGCCAGGGAUAUUUGGGGAUGUAUAGAGACAUUUUUGGUUGUUACAACUGAAAGUUUCCUGGGUAACGGCUACAAAAUAUCCUACAGUGCUGUCCUACGGGAUAGUGAGUCCCCCAUACAAACUAACGAGGAUCCAGCCCCAAAUGUCAAUAGCACUGGGGUCUGACAAAUAAAUUUUUAGUAUCUUUUUCCCUAAGUUGUUAGUGCCCUGUGUGAGGUGUGGUGUGUGAGAGGCUGGUGCCACUGGUGGUAAAGAGAAUUUACCCAUAGCCAAGAAACACAGAAAAGUUAAGAGUUUAUUGGGCUGGGGAUUUCAGUGGUUCUGCCCCCUGCCUCGAAAGUGCAAGGUCCCAAGUUCGAUCCCUGGUAACAACAAAGAAAAAAGUCCCUUAAAAAAAAAAAAAAAGUUUAUUGAUGCAGUGCAUUGGGGAAGGCAUAGAGAGGAUGUGUUCCAGAGAAGUCAGAGUGAAGGCUGAGAUUUUUAGAUUUGAUUUUAACCUGAGGAGGGGUCUAGAAACGUGGGCAUGGGGUUCCCGUGUCCGUCCAUCCCAGGUCUGAAGAGGGCAGAGAGUGUUUGAAGACUGAUGUGAAGUUUUUGUUCGACAGGGUCCAGGGCCCUUGGCAUUGCUAGAAACAGUCCUUCUGGGUAAAAUAAAUUAACAAAUAUGUAAAGAUUGUCUAAUGUUAGUGGUCAAGGAGAUCAGAAUAAACUAUAUAUGUGUGUGCUUGAGAAGGACUUUUGAGUUGUAUUGGGAUAGGGGAAGAAAUGGCUAGAUUAUCUGUGAUGUAUGCAUAGUUCUUAGGCAUAGCUCAUGAGGUGGAAGUUAAUGUUCUACCACAGACCCACCACUCAGGUGCAGUGUGCACUUUAGAGAAACAAUGAUAAAAUAACCAUGAUUCCUAAUAACUAGGUUACUCAGGCUAGGCUAAGAUUUGUGAUCCUGCUUCAGCCUCCCAGAAUGCUGGGAUUAUAAGCCUGUGCCACCAUGUCCGGCUAUAUUUUUAGUUACUUUCUUGAGAAUGUGUACUUUUGCUUGCUGCAGGACCACCAGCAGUCAAGGCUCCUGAAAAGGACCUGGAGCUUUUAGAAAAGUGGAAUCAGCAUCAGUCUGAACAAAUGGGCUUGGGGCCCAGCAACCAGGUUGGACAACUCAGGACGACAGAGACUUAGGUCUGUGUGAUCUCAAGGGCCGAGCUCAACCUGGAGUCUGCGGGGGAAGCCUUGAACAUUCCCCCACGUAUUUCUGGCUUCCGUCCAGCCUAGCGUAGAAAGUGGUGGUCAGGAUGUUCUGAACACCAGCCUCUCUCCACCCGAGCCCCAGGCCCUCACUUCUGAAGAUGAGCAUAGGACAUCACUUAGUUGUCCUAGACAAAAAUAACCCAGAGUGCUGCCUGCUCUCUCACCCUGUGAACAGCCAGGGCCCAGGCUAUGACUAAGUCUGCUGGGGGAAUCCAGAGGCCAGGACCCUUGCAAUGCUGGAGUCUAAAGGCUCCUGGGUCCUAAAGCUUCCUCUGUUUCCAAUAAGAUUUGUCUGAGAUAUUUCCCCAAUAAUUAGCUAAGCAAAGAGGAAAAGAGCACAUCAUUUUAUAAAAAUCUUUUUUUGUCUGUUUUUUUUUUACAGUGCUGGGGAUCAAAAUCAGGGCCUUGCAUGUGUCAUGUUUCAGUAGUAAAACACUACUGGACUGCCCCCUUACCCCUUAAGAGAGCUUUCAGGUAUGAAUGAUGGGUCCUUGGGAGGCUGAGGCAGGAGGAUCACAGCCUGGGCAAGUUGGUGGGACCCUACCUCAAAAGCAAAGCAAAACAGGCUGGGAUGUAGCUCAGUGGCAGAGGCUUUCCCUAGCAUAUAUGAGGCCCUGGGUACAAUCUCCACACACAACCCCCCAAGAAUAAAGAGCAUGUUUUUACUAUGCAAUCAAUUCUUGAGAAAUCUGGGGUAGGAAUUCUCCCAUUUUAGAAAUCUCCAGCUUCUUUUCUCCCAGACUCCUCUUUAUUCAUUCCUUCAGCAAAUAUUCCAUCUGUGGGAGACCAGGCCCUGGGUGAAGCGCAUGCACAGUCGAGAAGAGCCCGUUUCUUGUAUAAUAUUAGCCAGACUGACUCCGAGAUUUAACAUAGCAGUCAGG